rnacentral:rRNA from 1 species
GAUGAACGCUGGCGGCGUGCCUAACACAUGCAAGUCGAACGGAAAGGCCCAAGCUUGCUUGGGUACUCGAGUGGCGAACGGGUGAGUAACACGUGGGUGAUCUGCCCUGCACUUCGGGAUAAGCCUGGGAAACUGGGUCUAAUACCGGAUAGGACGAUGGUUUGGAUGCCAUUGUGGAAAGUUUUUUCGGUGUGGGAUGAGCUCGCGGCCUAUCAGCUUGUUGGUGGGGUAAUGGCCUACCAAGGCGUCGACGGGUAGCCGGCCUGAGAGGGUGUACGGCCACAUUGGGACUGAGAUACGGCCCAGACUCCUACGGGAGGCAGCAGUGGGGAAUAUUGCACAAUGGGCGCAAGCCUGAUGCAGCGACGCCGCGUGGGGGAUGACGGCCUUCGGGUUGUAAACUCCUUUCGCUAGGGACGAAGCGUUUUUGUGACGGUACCUGGAGAAGAAGCACCGGCUAACUACGUG